ACAAUGGCUUUUAAAAACAGUCCACUAAAACCACUACCCACGAUCAUCCUUCCUCCACUGUUUUUUAUCUUCUCAUUUUCUAUAAAUUCGACACUGAGAUAUAUCAUGUAAUUACUCAAAAGAGACGCUUCUUCCGUGAUAGAAUGGAUGCGUGAUGUUAGUUAAAAAGAGUUUGUUCGAACCCAUGAUCAAAACAGAGCAAAGUAGGAAAUAAAUUGUUGCUGCGAGCAGGAAAAGCUCAUGAUGAUAUAUACAAACCGCCUUGCUCCUUUCUUAUCUUGCAAAUUCUAAUAUUUUACUCUGGCCGAAGCAAGUUCUGAAAAUUUGGUGGACAGAAUUUUGUAAAAAUUCUAUUAGCCUAUGUUUAAUUACUUUUUUUUCUCUCAGUUAGGUUCUGUAAGGGAAAGAAACACUUUCAAACAAGCAAUAGAACUUAACGAUGAGGAAGCUAGAAGAUCAAUGGGUAUUGCUGAGAAGAAACUCUUAGAGAUUGAUUACUAUGGAGCAAGAACGUUCAUUAACCAGGAAAAUAGUUUGUAUACAGAUCUUGAUUUUAAAACAAGUGCUGACUAUGAUUUAUGUUUUUAUCUAUGCAUCACCCAUAGAAGGAAGAGAAGCUGGUUGAUAUGAGAUUCUGAGUGUAGAUCGUUGGUAAUGAUGAAACCGGUCAAAAAGCAAGACAAGAUGUUAGGUCUUUUUCUUCAUCUCGGACAAGAAAAGGAAACAAGAAAGGCUCUCAUGUCAAGUUGGUUUUCCUUAACUUUAUAUAUAUUUACUUUAUAAUUGUAUAAAGAUAUAUUUUUGUUUACUUUAGGAUACACAUUUUAUAUUUUUCUUAUAUAAAAUGUUACCAAUAUUGGUAGAAUAAAUAUAAACUUGGAAAUGAAGAAAGACACAUGGAGAAGAACUAUACACUAUAUA